rnacentral:misc_RNA from 1 species
UAAAAAUAUUAUAUUUCAUUGUCUUAUAGGAAAGAAGAAUCAACCCGCAUACCAAGUCUACCUAUUGUUCCUGCGAGAAAAAAAUGGCUAACGAGCUCGUUGGUGAUGUUUCUCAUGAUCUGUUUUCACUUCUCUCCGCAGAAGACAGAGACUUUCUGAUCCGUAACAACGGCGAUCAGGUUAAGAUCAGCAGCUUGGUUGGAAAGAUUGUGGGAUUAUAUUUCUCUGCCUCAUGGUGUGGACCAUGUCGACAUUUCACACCAAACUUGGUGGAAGUCUAUGAGAAGCUCUCAUCAAAAGGCGAUUUUGAAGUAGUUUUCAUUUCUUCUGAUAGGGAUGAUGAAUCUUUCAAUGGUUACUUCUCCAAAAUGCCUUGGCUUGCCAUUCCAUUUUCUGAUCAGGAAAUCCGAAAACGCCUUAAGGAGUUGUUUAAAGUGAGGGGGAUUCCUAGUCUUGUCAUUCUUGACACUGAUGGGAAGGUUUCUUGUGAUCAAGGGGUCAAG